rnacentral:rRNA from 1 species
GGGUCAGUAGGUUGGUCGUGCCACCGGUACGUACUGGUCUCACUGAUUCCUCCUUCCUGAAGAACCGUAAUGCCAUUAAUUUGGUGUUGCGGGGAGACAGGACUGUUACUUUGAAAAAAUUAGAGUGUUUAAAGCAAGCUAACGCUUGAAUACAUUAGUAUGGAAUAAUGAAAUAGGACGAUCGAUCCUAUUUUGUUGGUUUCUAGGAUUGACGUA